rnacentral:rRNA from 1 species
GAUGAACGCUGGCGGCGUGCCUAAUACAUGCAAGUCGAGCGAACAGACGAGGAGCUUGCUCCUCUGACGUUAGCGGCGGACGGGUGAGUAACACGUGGAUAACCUACCUAUAAGACUGGGAUAACUUCGGGAAACCGGAGCUAAUACCGGAUAAUAUAUUGAACCGCAUGGUUCAAUAGUGAAAGACGGUUUUGCUGUCACUUAUAGAUGGAUCCGCGCCGCAUUAGCUAGUUGGUAAGGUAACGGCUUACCAAGGCAACGAUGCGUAGCCGACCUGAGAGGGGGACCGGCCACACUGGAACUGAGAAACGGUCCAGACUCCUACGGGAGGCAGCAGUAGGGAAUCUUCCGAAAUGGGCGAAAGCCUGACGGAGCAACGCCGCGUGAGUGAUGAAGGUCUUCGGAUCGUAAAACUCUGUUAUUAGGGAAGAACAAAUGUGUAAGUAACUAUGCACGUCUUGACGGUACCUAAUCAGAAAGCCACGGCUAACUACGUG